AAAAAAUUAGUUAAACUUAUAACAUUAGUAUGUCAAACUAAAAUUAUUAAUUAUUUUGAUAUUUUUUA
rnacentral:tRNA from 1 species